UGACACGGGGCUGGUGGCUCUGGGGACAUUGGGGACACCAGGGGCCAGGUGUGUGUGUGUGUGUGUGUCACCUGCAGGCGCAGCAGGUAAUCCACGGUGCAGAUGAUGAUGUUGAUGGUGGUCGUGUUCCCCGUCUGCGUCCUCAGGUAGUUCUGGAAGUCUGAGGGGGGACAUUGGGGACACCCCGGGGUCACCUCGGUGUCACCUCGGUGUCACCUGGGUCCCCUCGUGUCCCCAGGGGUGUCCCCAGGUGUCCCCACCGUUGUUGUGGCCCUCGCAGAGCAGCUGCAGCAGCCGGAACAGGUCCUGGGUGAAUUCAUCGUCCGACAUCACCUUCUCCCCUGGGGGGACACGAGAGGGGACACGGGGACAGCGGGGUCACCGGGGGCACGGCUGGCACGGGGACACCAGAGAGUGGCAUGGGGACACACCCCAGGGGCACGGGGACAAUCUGAGGUGGCACAGGGACACCAGAGGUGGCACGGGGACAAUCUGAGGUGGCACAGGGACACCAGAGAGUGGCACAGGGACACCAGAGAGUGGCACGGGGACACACCCCAGGGGCACAGGGACAAUCUGAGGUGGCACAGGGACACCCCAAUAUGGCACAGGGACACCAAAGAGUGGCACAGGGACACUGGCAUAACACCAGAGAGUGGCACAGGGACACCCUGGCGUGACAGGGACACCAGAGAGUGGCACAGGGACAAUCUGAGGUGGCACAGGGACACCUCAAGGUGGCACAGAUACACCAGAGAGUGGCACAGGGACACCCCAGGAUGGCACGGGGACACCCUGAGAUCGCACAGGGACACCAGAGAGUGGCACAGCGACAAUCUGAGGUGGCACAGGGACACCACAGAGUGGCACAGGGACACUCUGGCAUGACAGGGACACCAGAGAGUGGCAUGGGGACAAUCCAAAGUGGCACAGGGACACCAGAGAGUGGCACAGGGACACGCUGGCGUGACAGGGACACCCCGAGAUGGCACCAGGACACCAGAGAGUGGCACAGGGACAC
rnacentral:lncRNA from 1 species